rnacentral:lncRNA from 1 species
UUUGAGUCAGGGUCUUGCUAUGUUGUCCAGGCUGGUCUCAAACUCCUGGGCUCAAGUGAUCCUCCCACCUCAGUCUUCUAAAUUUCAGGCAUAAGCCACUGUGCCCAACUGGUAUUUUUUAUAUCUCGUUUCUUAGGAAGAAUCAGUGUGUAUAUCAUUCAGCAAAUACCUGAGCACUCACCAACAUGCUGAGCGCUGAUUUAGGUGCAGGAUAUGUUAGCAAACAUAACAGACCAUAGU